GACCCAGUAGCGGAUGGUACCGCGCCCGCGCCGUGUACGUCCUCUGCGAUUGCAUGCGGGAAUCCUUGGUUCGACUCCAGGCUGGGUCA